GAUGAACGCUGGCGGCGUGCCUAAUACAUGCAAGUCGAGCGAACAGACGAGGAGCUUGCUCCUCUGACGUUAGCGGCGGACGGGUGAGUAACACGUGGAUAACCUACCUAUCAGACUGGGAUCACUUCGGGAAACCGGAGCUAAUACCGGAUAAUAUAUUGAACCGCAUGGUUCAAUAGUGAAAGACGGUUUUGCUGUCACUUAUAGAUGGAUCCGCGCCGCAUUAGCUAGUUGGUAAGGUAACGGCUUACCAAGGCAACGAUGCGUAGCCGACCUGAGAGGCGGAUCGGCCACACUGGAACUGAGACACGGUCCAGACUCCUACGGGAGGCAGCAGUAGGGAAUCUUCCGCAAUGGGCGAAAGCCUGACGGAGCAAGGCCGCGUGAGUGAUGAAGGUCUUCGGAUCGUAAAACUCUGUUAUUAGGGAAGAACAAAUGUGUAAGUAACUAUGCACGUCUUGACGGUACCUAAUCAGAAAGCCACGGCUAACUACGUG
rnacentral:rRNA from 1 species